rnacentral:rRNA from 1 species
AGAGUUUGAUCCUGGCUCAGAACGAACGCUGGCGGCAGGCUUAACACAUGCAAGUCGAACGCAUCCUUCGGGGUGAGUGGCAGACGGGUGAGUAACGCGUGGGAAUAUGCCCUUCAGUACGGAAUAACUCAGGGAAACUUGUGCUAAUACCGUAUACGCCCUUUUGGGGAAAGAUUUAUCGCUGAAGGAUUAGCCCGCGUCUGAUUAGCUAGUUGGUGGGGUAAUGGCCUACCAAGGCGACGAUCAGUAGCUGGUCUGAGAGGAUGAUCAGCCACACUGGGACUGAGACACGGCCCAGACUCCUACGGGAGGCAGCAGUGGGGAAUAUUGGACAAUGGGCGCAAGCCUGAUCCAGCCAUGCCGCGUGAGUGAUGAAGGCCUUAGGGUUGUAAAGCUCUUUCGUUGGGGAAGAUAAUGACGGUACCCAAAGAAGAAGCCCCGGCUAACUUCGUG